GACGAACGCUGGCGGCGUGCUUAACACAUGCAAGUCGAACGGAAAGGCCCUGCUUGCGGGGUACUCGAGUUGCGAACGGGUGGGUAACACGUGGGUGAUCUGCCCUGCACUUCGGGAUAAGCCUGGGCAACUGGGUCUAGUACCGGACAGGAGCCAUUUUUAGUGUGAUGGUUGGAAAGUUUUUUCGGUGUAGGGUGAGCUCGCGGCCUAUCAGCUUGCUGGUGGGGUAAUGGCCUACCAAGGCGGCGACGGGUAGCCGGCCUGAGUGGGUGGACGGCGACAUUGAGACUGAGAGACGGCCCAGACACCGACGGGAGGCAGCAGGGGGGAAGAUUGCACAAUGGGCGCAAGCCUGAUGCAGCGACGCCGCGUGGGGGAUGACGGCCUUCGGGUUGUAAACUCCUUUCGCUAGGGACGAAGCUUUUUGUGACGGUACCUAGAGAAGAAGCACCGGCUAACUACGUG
rnacentral:rRNA from 1 species